GCCGAGAUGGUGGAAUGGUAGACACCGGGGACUUAAAAUCCCCUCCCCGUAGAGGGGGUACGGGUUCAACUCCCGUUCUCGGCA
rnacentral:tRNA from 1 species